GUGGGGAAUCUUGCGCAAUGGACGAAAGUCUGACGCAGCGACGCCGCGUGGGUGACGAAGGCCUUCGGGUUGUAAAGCCCUGUGGGGAGAGACGAACCGGCCUGUGGCUAAUAUCCACGGGUCUUGACGGUAUCUCCUUAGCAAGCAUCGGCUAACUCUGUGCCAGCAGCCGCGGUAAGACAGAGGAUGCAAACGUUGCUCGGAAUUACUGGGCGUAAAGCGCGCGCAGGCGGUCUUGUAAGUCGGGUGUGAAAGCCCCGGGCUCAACCCGGGAAGUGCACUCGAUACUGCAUGACUGGAGUACUGGAGAGGAGAGCGGAAUUCUCGGUGUAGAGGUGAAAUUCGUAGAUAUCGGGAGGAACACCAGCGGCGAAGGCGGCUCUCUGGACAGAUACUGACGCUGAGGCGCGAAAGCGUGGGAAGCAAACAGGAUUAGAAACCCCAGUAGUCC
rnacentral:rRNA from 1 species